CUCUAUGCCCAGGGAGUCGAGAAAAUUUUCCCGACCGGAACGGGAAUCGAACCCGCCGUCUCCGGAUUGGCGAUCCAUAGCCUUAACCACUAAGCUAACUGGAGACCCUGAAUGGUUUAUAUUAAUCGCUAAAAAUCAAAUAUUUAAUCGUAAGAAAUCACCAAAAGAAAAAUCCUGCCAAAAAUUCUUAAAAACUUUGGAAAUAAGCAUGAUUUGCCUUUACAAUUUAGGUUAUUGGUAUAAUUAUUGGCUUCGCAACUGCUUACUUUUUCAACAUACAUUUUUCCUUCUUUUCUGCAUAGGCUGUUCUUUCGAGUUACACUAUUCAGGUAAUUAUCGGCACCACAAGCACAGGUAUUUAGAAAUUUGAAAAAAAUAUUAAAUAAAUAUUUUAGCAAUUUUAACACCGGUGGAGGCUGUAAUGCCCAUAAUUUCCCGAAAAGUGCAAUUCGAAAGAACAGCCUAUGCAAAAAAGAAGGGAGAAUCUAUGUUAAAAAAGUAUAUACGCAGUUGCGAUGCCGAUAAUUUCCUGAAAAGUGCAACUCGAAAGAACAGCCUAUGCAAAAGAAGGGACAAUUGUUGAUGAACAUAUAAGCAGUUGUAAUGCCAACAAUUCUUAUAACGACUCAAACAUUUUUUUAACGAAGAAGGAAACGUAACACUCUGAUAAUUGCCAUCGUACUUCGAUUUAACGGUUUAUUUGAGGGUUGACCAACUGCCAAUCCGCGGCGCUCGCAUCGUUUUUGUUCGAGUUUGACACUACUGCCACCUAGUUGAUGGUUGGGUAAAUUCAGUCCUUUUAGAAUUAAGCGAAUCUGUUUCCGAGACUAAAAUUUGAAUCGAAAAAUGUUCGAAAUGGUACGUCUGUUUGUCUGUGGUGACAUUGUUUUCCU